AUUGAACGCUGGCGGCAUGCCUUACACAUGCAAGUCGAACGGCAGCGCGGGGCAACCUGGCGGCGAGUGGCGAACGGGUGAGUAAUAUAUCGGAACGUGCCCUGGAGUGGGGGAUAACGUAGCGAAAGUUACGCUAAUACCGCAUACGAUCUGAGGAUGAAAGCAGGGGACCUUCGGGCCUUGUGCUCCUGGAGCGGCCGAUAUCUGAUUAGCUAGUUGGUGGGGUAAAAGCCUACCAAGGCGACGAUCAGUAGCUGGUCUGAGAGGACGACCAGCCACACUGGAACUGAGACACGGUCCAGACUCCUACGGGAGGCAGCAGUGGGGAAUUUUGGACAAUGGGGGGCAACCCUGAUCCAGCAAUGCCGCGUGUGUG
rnacentral:rRNA from 1 species